UACGUAGGGUGCAAGCGUUAAUCGGAAUUACUGGGCGUAAAGCGUGCGCAGGCGGCUUUGCAAGACAGAUGUGAAAUCCCCGGGCUAACCUGGGAACUGCAUUUGUGACUGCAUGGCUGGAGUGCGGCAGAGGGGGAUGGAAUUCCGCGUGUAGCAGUGAAAUGCGUAGAUAUGCGGAGGAACACCGAUGGCGAAGGCAAUCCCCUGGGCCUGCACAUGACGCUCAUGCA
rnacentral:rRNA from 1 species